AUAAAAAAAGGGGUGCAGGGGAAAGGUUCCCUGCUUCUUUAAGGAGGGUGCUCAGACGCGGAUGCGUCGUCGAAGGCAAG
ncrna:unclassified sequences Clostridiales-2 RNA